UCCUUCCACCACAUCGCCGCCCCACCGUGCCCCCCAUCCCCACCUCUGAGCCGCCACCUUGCGCUCCUUCCCGUCACGCCGGCCACUCUGUCCUAUUGUACCCCAUCGCGCCGGCCACCCCGCCAGCGGCUCCCUGUCGCGUCUUCUAGCCAAGGCCCAGCCACCCCGCCCGCUGCUCGCCGUCGUGUCUCCUUGCCAAGGCCUGGCUACCCUCGUACCACGUUCGCCUCGCUGCUCCCGUCAAGUUCAGGCAUUUGUUCAGGCCCCUGCACCACAGAUCUGUCGAGAAGAUUAUACGCACGUAGUGCUGGUGCUGCUGGAUAUUUGAUGACUGGAAGGCUUGAGAAGGCGGUUGAAUACACCGUUCAGCCUCAGGAUCAUGCUGGCCGAAGAUUUUGCCUAGACACACAGAAUGGCAGAUCGAUCCGGUCGUUCGUUCAUGACAGCAAUAAUCUCAAUACGCUAGACAGCUGCAGCUUGCUUGGUCUGCCCAUAUGAGCAGGAACAAUUCAAACCCUCUUAAGACUACCAGAAAUAGCUCAGGGUAUACAGUGAUAUUAAUAAACAUGCGCUAUUUCGUGAGCUUUGGUAGAAGUAAGAUCCUUUUAGAUGAUACAAAUUUAUUCAUGUAUGUCUUGCUGCAUCCACUUCCCACAUUAUAUUUUUCAAUCAGCACACAUUUCAUUUUUAUUAAUUAAAAGACUGUUUUGGAUAAAUAUUGGAUUCAUUAGGUUCAGAGAAAUGUUAGCUUAACUACCAGUAUUUUUAUACACUGAGAUUCAUCCUCUAUACAACCUUUAGGCAGAAUUGUAAAUGGAUUAAACUAAAUAUUUUUAUGACCAUUUCUUCAUUAUGUGAAGACGCUGUGAACUGCAGCCUGCAGGCAUGCUAGAUGCAUAGGAUGUUGCAGUUGUUGCGGUAGUACUGACUACUGAGAUUUGCUGGUUUCUGUUCUGAUUACUUCUGUUCUGUCUUCUAGUAAUUAUUAUCUCUUUGUAGUUGAGGGAGACUAAAGAUCAGAUGGGUCAAUGUUUUGAAAGACUAGAUCACCAGGGGACUAGAAAGCAA